UAAAUGGAAUCUUUUGUAUAAGUUUUAAAUUCUUAAUUUAAAUUAGGAUGAUAAUCCCCAUUUAA
rnacentral:tRNA from 1 species